AAGAAACAGAUAUGAAAACAUCCCUGGGAUUAGUUUAUAAAAUGGAUGAGAAAUUUAUAACCGCUUCCAAAAUGCUGACAGGGUAAUGAAUAAUAUAACAGGAGGAAUUAUUCAGUGGCGUUUACCCACGGCCACGAUGAAGCUAGGUACAGCUCCCAGGGUGAGGUACACAUUUGCUUGUAAAUAAAACUCUUGUGAUUACGAUGUUAAAUAAGUUCUCUCCUUUGAGCUCUUGUCGGCCAACGUCCGGCGGCGGAUAAGUAACAAGCUCACAGCGGCCCGGCGGUGCUGACAGCCUGCUGCUGCCAAUGUCAUCUACUCGCCCUGUCAUCCCCCGUCCGGUCAAUUUUCUUGUUCUCAUCUGGGCGCUCGAAGCGACCGCCGUCACGGCCACACGCGACACUACGGACAGCAAGGAGCGGCCACACAGGACCCCUUGGGCGGGGUUGACCUUCUACCAGGACGUAGCGCCGGCCGCGUGGCUAACAGUCACACUGACCAGUGGGGAUUUACGCUUAGGUUUUAUUUUUAGUGAACUCGCCCAGACCGAGACAAAUUGACCGCGGCGUUGAAACGCUGGCAGGGAAAGGUCGAUGGCUCUGCCGCCCGUAUAUCACAGCCACGCGCUGUGCUGUGAUUUGAUGGGGGGCCGAUUCAUCCCAGACACUGUGGUGGUGCCAACGCUGAUUACAAAUGCUGUUUAAGUGUAGGUGGAAGGAGGAUCAUUACAACAGUCUGAGAGGAGGAGUUGCUGUCACCGCUUAAGAAAAAUGCAAAUGGCCUCUUGCUGAGUUAGGCUGUGGCCACUGCCAGCUGUGCUGCUGCUACAUCGUCAAACAAAUGAAGGAGAAGGCAAGCAGGGGGGUGUACGGGAAGAUAUCAGACCGAGUAGACAGGAUCAACUCCAAGAGAACUGGACCACAGAAGGUUUCAAUCUGUACCAGGAGCCAGAUGUGGGCAUCAGGACACUGGCCAAAGAGGAGGAGAGAGUGGAGGAGGAGGCGGAGGAUUGGACAGUGGUAAGACACGCCAGGAACGCCAAAACCAAGACGAGUUAGAACGAAGGACCUGCCCGCGGGGCUGCAGGACGCAAAAAAGCCUCGGUCAACCUGCCCAGAGACUGGAACGGAUCUGUAGGACACCAUGAAGUUAAAAUUGGUUAUUUUCACAGUUGUAUUCUUCUCCCAUUUAACUAAAUGUCAUGUAGUCUAAACAGUUACGUUUUUUUAUGAGUUAUUUUACAUCCAAAUCGAAUCAAGGCAACUUCGCUCUC